UCAAGAGUUCCACUUUAUGUAUAGAUGUUCAGAACAGGACAAAGGGAUAUUCUGCUGACUACUGAUUAGGGAACUGAGAAGGGCGUUAUAAUGACGUUAUGCUUAUUUAUUUAGUUUUAUUUAGUUUUGUGCUGAUGAUGUGCAUUUGAGGAUACAAGAGUAUAGAGAGUGUGUGGCAGUGCGUCCCUCUCAUAGUGUGGCUCAUCUUGACUUUCCUGGAUGGCCAAUACUUUGCCUGUGUAAAGACAGAUUGGUCAGGUAGCUAAUUUUUCUCAAUCUGCUCAUCAAAAAUGGUGCAAACCAGAUAACACCUAAAAUGAACCAUCAGAGGAGUUACUGAGGAUGACUCAGGACUGGUUCUCUCUCUCUCAGUUAAAACUGGGUGUGGGCUGACGCACUUAAACAGCUGUCAGAUGUUAAGGAUUGCAUUGCUGCCUGCGCACAGAUUCAUCGGAAUGGGGUUUGUUGGCCUUCUCAUUCUGACCACUGCAGUAUACCCCAAGGUUCAAAAGUGCUUCAGAUGGAACGGACCACCUUACAAUGUUGUUAAUGAGAAUCAGGAAAGGUCUGAGAAUGCCAAUUACCAGGAAAUUGAACUUCAGAACAAUUCAUCUGGGACAUGAUAUAAAUAACCAAAAGUGGGACCUUCUUGGUUAUUUGUUGUACAAUGUCAAAUAAAUAGUUCUUACACAGAUAUUUUACUUGAAUUAUGUAUAAAGUAAAAUUGUCCACUGUGACUUUUAAAAAUGUCUCCAGUUGUCAUGUGAGAGAAAUGAACCAUAAUUUCUUUAGCAUUUGUUCAGAAAUCAAUAAUUUGUUAUUAAAUAAAUAAGAA